UUGAAUCAACACCAAUAGGGUAGUGCAGACUCUAAAUGAGACCUUAUGUGGAAGCAUAUAGAAGAGUAAGACCUCUACGGUUAAAAGAGUUGUUGUGGUUGGCUUGUCAUGGUAAACUGUUGACUAACUUGGAAAUUAAGAUGCAAAUGAAAAAUUUUCGAUGAUCCUUUUUGUAGUGUAUUUGGGGGAGAUGUUGGGGCAGUCACUCAUGUGCUGAGAGAUUGCCAUCUAGCAUCCAACCGUUGGAAUAAAGUUGUUCCAAUUUCCUGAAGAGACGAUUUCUUUAGGAUGCCAAUUCAAGGUUGGUAAUUAAACAAUCUUUCAAAUAGAAAACAAGUUGAUCAUGCUGGGCGGGAUUGGGACAUUCUUUUUGUGUUGGCAAUUAUGGUCUCAGAGGAAUAAUUUCAUAUUCCGUAAUGAUAAUGGCUCUAGUAACUCAGUUAUAUCUAAGAGUUCAGCUUUUGUUAACUAUGGCUAUGGAGAGUAACUUUGGGUGCGAUAUGGUUAUGCUUUAGGUUCCUGGAUGGUUCAAACCUCAGGUCGGAUGGGUGAAGCUUAACAGAGAUAGGGCGUUUAACCUUAGAACGAAAGAAAUUGGAGUUGGAGGACUCAUCAGAGAUUGCAGGGGCGACUGGGUUGUCGGUGUAAAUGCCCAAAUUUUCCCGGGCCCAUUAUAAUAAUAAAAAAAUAAAUAAAGUCCAAGACAAAGAAACAGUCCAAUUACAAGAGCGACCCAAAUGCAAAGUAUGCUUGGCCCAAGUCAUUACCCAAUUUUACAAACCCAAUCCCUAGCCUAAAUUUAUUAGAAAAAGAAGAAACCCUAGGGUUCCUAUACCAGCAUCUCGCGCCGCUCCUCCAUGUGCUGGCCUCAGCGCGCACAACGCUCGAGACAUGAGCCCCGUCCCAUCGCCCGUACUACCAGCUCCGACUCUACCUGCAAAAUGGAAAAGAAACACGCAAAGCAGAAAAAGAGCAACAGACGCAAACAGUAGCAGAGACAAAGAAAAACAAUAUUUUUCUAAUGUUGCAAUCGGUUAUAAAGCCGAAAAGAAAUCAUUUGUAAUGGGGGGUUUUAAUACAAAAAAGGUUGUAUUACACGAGAUAUCGGAGAAAUCAAAAGCAAAAAUAAGAAAAAGGUUGUUUUUGGAUUCUAUUCUUUUUUCUUAUUUUUGGUUUCAAAUCCAUUUUAAAACAAAAAAUAAAAAGGAAGAGGGAGAGGCUUACCGGAUUCUCUGCGAUCACGACGCCGGAGGGUCCCUCCUCCAUCAUUGAAAUCAAACUCAAAGAGGGGUUGAGGGCCAUCUCUUUUCGGUUCUUCCUGUUUUGAAGGCUUGGCCUUCAAAAGGUAUUAAAAAAGGGUUAAAACCAUUUUUGUUCGAUUCCGACCACCGCUUAAGACGGAGACAUGGUGGCUAACACGGUGGUCCCUAAUCGGACCAGGGAACGUGAGAAAGAGAGAGAGAGAGGAGAGUUAUCAGCUUUUUUUGAAAAGAGAAGGGAGCAGAAGUGAUUUUUUCUCAAAAAUUUGGCUUUUAUAGCCUUACAAAACGGCACCGUUUCAAGGUGUCCUGAAGAGCCCCACAACGACGUCGUUUUGGGGCGACCCGCAGACUCGACCCGGAUUCUCCUGGGAUCCGCGCGUUUUGUAGGGGAGGGGAUAUUUCACGAGAGGUCUCUCUACCUUUAUAGUGCGCUACAAUUUGGUCCUUUAUGUACUUUAUUUUUUUUUGUAAAUUCGGCCACGUAUUUUGCUUGCCAUUCAAUUUAGUCCUUGGCAUGCUGAACUCUCGGGGAAAGGACGCAAGUCUGAAUAUUGGGCUAUUUGUCGAAUAGGUCCCUGUUAGCUUAAGCAUGUUUCGUUUUGACCUUCGCAGCUUCUUUAUUUAUUUACAAUUUGCACCUUAAUUUUUAAUUCAAUUUCAGCCUAGUCCUAAUCUAUUUAAUUUAUUUAUUAUUUUAGUUUUUUAGGAAAUUAUUUUAUUAUUUAUUUAUUUUAAG
rnacentral:lncRNA from 1 species